AGGCGAACGGCUGAGUAACACGUGGGCAACCUGCCCUUUGCACUGGGAUAGCCUCGGGAAACCGAGGUUAAUACCGGAUACUCCAUAUCCAUCGCAUGAUAGAUAUGGGAAAGCUCCGGCGGCAAAGGAUGGGCCCGCGGCCUGUUAGCUAGUUGGUGGGGUAGUGGCCUACCAAGGCAAUGAUGGGUAGCCGGGUUGAGAGACCGACCGGCCAGAUUGGGACUGAGACACGGCCCAGACUCCUACGGGAGGCAGCAGCC
rnacentral:rRNA from 1 species